rnacentral:rRNA from 1 species
AACGUACGCUGGCGGCACGCCUAACACAUGCAAGUCGAACGAAGUAGCAAUACUUAGUGGCAGACGGGUGAGUAACAUGUAGGUAUCUGCCCUUUGGCCUGGAAUAACACGAGGAAACUUGUGCUAAUACCGGAUAAGUCUUCACGGAGAAAGCUUUAUGCACCAUUGGAUGAGCCUGCACUUGAUUAGUUUGUUGGUAGGGUAAUGGCCUACCAAGACUGUGAUCAAUAGCUGAUUUGAGAGGAUGAUCAGCCACAUUGGGACUGAGACACGGCCCAAACUCCUACGGGAGGCAGCAGUGGGGAAUCUUGCACAAUGGAGGAAACUCUGAUGCAGCGAUGCCGCGUGAGUGAAGAAGGCCCUUGGGUUGUAAAGCUCUUUCGUCGGGAAGAAAUGACUGUACCCGAAUAAGAAGGUCCGGCUAACUUCGUGCCAGCAGCCGCAGUAAC